rnacentral:rRNA from 1 species
GUAGGUGGCAAGCGUUGUCCGGAAUUAUUGGGCGUAAAGCGCGCGCAGGCGGUCCUUUAAGUCUGAUGUGAAAGCCCACGGCUCAACCGUGGAGGGUCAUUGGAAACUGGGGGACUUGAGUACAGAAGAGGAAAGCGGAAUUCCAAGUGUAGCGGUGAAAUGCGUAGAGAUUUGGAGGAACACCAGUGGCGAAGUCGGCUUUCUGGUCUGUAACUGACGCUGAGGCGCGAAAGCGUGGGGAGCAAACAGGGAUUAGAUACCCUGGUAGUCCACGCCGUAAACGAUGAGUGCUAAGUGUUAGGGGGUUUCCCGCCCCCUUAGUGCUGCAGCUAACGCAUUAAGCACUCCGCCGUGGGGAGUACGGCCCGCAAGGCUG